rnacentral:rRNA from 1 species
AAUACGGAGCUGAUUCGAGCUCCGGCUCGACUCUCCCACCCAAUGUGUACCUACCUCUGUUGCUUUGGCGGGCCGCGGUCCUCCGCACCGGCGCCCUUCGGGGGGCUGGCCAGCGCCCGCCAGAGGACCAUAAAACUCCAGUCAGUGAACUUCGCAGUCUGAAAAACAAGUUAAUAAACUAAAACUUUCAACAACGGAUCUCUUGGUUCUGGCAUCGAUGAAGAACGCAGCGAAAUGCGAUAAGUAAUGUGAAUUGCAGAAUUCAGUGAAUCAUCGAAUCUUUGAACGCACAUUGCGCCCCUUGGUAUUCCGAGGGGCAUGCCUGUUCGAGCGUCAUUUCAACCCUCAAGCUCUGCUUGGUAUUGGGCCCCGUCCUCCACGGACGCGCCUUAAAGACCUCGGCGGUGGCGUCUUGCCUCAAGCGUAGUAGAAAACACCUCGCUUUGGAGCGCACGGCGUCGCCCGCCGGACGAACCUUUGAAUUAUUUCUCAAGGUUGACCUCGGAUCAGGUAGGGAUACCCGCUGAACUUAAGCAUAUCAAUAAGCGGAGGAAGA